UGGGUGAGCUUGACAUGUGGACCUUUUUUACUAAAGCUUUUAAUCAUUUGAGUCCUUUUAAAGCUUUUAAGCAUUUGAGUUUGCAAGAUUUUAAACUCUAUUUAUAUUAACAGGUGGUGGCAUGAGUUCUGACCCUGGGGCAUGAGAGUAUCUUGGUGUCUGGACCUGGCUGAAGGUGGCUGCCUCCUCCUUUUAUCCUUAUGGUAGCUGGUACUCCUGGUGAGGGUUGGAUCAGAGAUCUCCCUUGGUGGUGUUUGUGGCUACCCGCCAGUGCAGUGGGGCUGAGUCGAUCCAGGAGGCAGCCGCCCUCAUGCAGUGUUGGAGUGCGGUCCAACUGUCCGAGUCUAUUUUAACUUUCUCUUUUAUGGGAUUUGUGUCAAGUUUUUAAUAAAUUGUAUAUUCUUAACCUUUAUG